rnacentral:lncRNA from 1 species
CCCAUUGCAAGAAAGAGUAACAGAAUUUUUUAUCAAAAGCUCUUAGCCAAGACCAGCUUUGAUAUAAAAUGUCAUGCAGAAUUUUAUCCUUAUAGAACACCUUGUCUCUGAAAGUGAUGUUGUUCCGCCAGUUCCAUAGAACCCAAGAAAUAGCACACCAGAGAACUCUCCACUUACUAUUCUCAUCCAUCGAACUUGAUAUGAGCACAUGCUGACAAA